AUUGAACGCUGGCGGCAUGCUUUACACAUGCAAGUCGAACGGCAGCGCGGGCUUCGGCCUGGCGGCGAGUGGCGAACGGGUGAGUAAUACAUCGGAACGUGCCCAGUAGUGGGGGAUAGCUCGGCGAAAGCCGGAUUAAUACCGCAUACGACCUGAGGGUGAAAGCGGGGGAUCUUCGGACCUCGCGCUAUUGGCGCGGCCGAUGGCAGAUUAGCUAGUUGGUGGGGUAAAGGCCUACCAAGGCGACGAUCUGUAGCUGGUCUGAGAGGACGACCAGCCACACUGGGACUGAGACACGGCCCAGACUCCUACGGGAGGCAGCAGUGGGGAAUUUUGGACAAUGGGCGAAAGCCUGAUCCAGCAAUGCCGCGUGUGUGAUGGAGGCCUUCGGGUUGUAAAGCACUUUUGGCGGGAACGAAAAGGACUGUGCCAAUACCACGGUUCGAUGACGGUACCCGCAGAAUAAGCACCGGCUAACUACGUG
rnacentral:rRNA from 1 species